GGGGCUAACACCAACCGCCAAGUGUCACCGGUAUGUGCCACCGGGCCUUAUAUGCCACCGGGAUGUAUAUAUAAGACACCGGGCUUUGUAUGUCAUUGGGUUGUACUCCCAAAUAGAUCACCGGUCUCAGUUUGUCACUGGGCGUUAUUUGGUUGCAUGCGUAACCGGGCUGUGGGUCUUUCUCUGGAAUAGAACCAAUCGCGCGCCGCACAGCGGAGAUGGCACCCUAGCAGCCAUGCGCACCACGACUGUUUGAGACAUGCCACCCUUUUCGGGCUACCGUUCGAAAUGUGUGCUUCACAGGGAGGUCCGCAGCAUUCGUUAGCCUCUCCCAGACGUCGAAAAAUCCCGCACGCUACCGGGCGACAGUGCUUCAGUUCUUCUUCGGAGAAUCGGGACAAGAAGGGAGACCAAACAGCUCUGGCUUGAAUUCCAGUAGCGAGGUGAGGCGCACGGUGGCGUGGCGCGGGUUCUCUUCGUCGACGCGAGGUUCUGCAAUCAUGACAACUUGCAUGCCGGCGACUAAGGCAGCUUCGACGCCCAUGGGCCAGUUUUCGAACACCAGCACCUGUGGGGUCGUCGUCGAAUGGCGGAAAUCCGAAGAGCUCGGCCUUGAAGUCCAUGAACGUAUUUAAGCAAGUGGUUGCCUGGCGCUUGCUGUCUUCAUCCAUGCGUGGAUGCGGUACCAUGACGACCUGCAUGCCGGCACCGAGGGCAGCUGUGGCACCCGUGGGGGAGUCCUGGAGCACGAGGAACUCACCUACCUGCUCGUCCAAUGUGUGCUUCUGAAUAAUACGUGCCAUGAUCUUCAAUAUUGUAAAACACUGAAUGUUUAUGCAGUGAGAAUGCUUCAGAACAAGACAACUGGAUAAUCAAAAGCUUGCCGAGACACUUUAGAUUCACGCUUUGAAACUGCACAAAGUGUAUUUU